rnacentral:rRNA from 1 species
AGGCAGCAGUGGGGAAUAUUGGACAAUGGGCGAAAGCCUGAUCCAGCCAUGCCGCGUGUGUGAAGAAGGUCUUCGGAUUGUAAAGCACUUUAAGUUGGGAGGAAGAGCAGUAAAUUAAUACUUUGCUGUUUUGACGUUACCGACAGAAUAAGCACCGGCUAACUCUGUGCC